AGUGAACGCUGGCGGUAGGCCUAACACAUGCAAGUCGAACGGCAGCACAGUAAGAGCUUGCUCUUACGGGUGGCGAGUGGCGGACGGGUGAGGAAUACAUCGGAAUCUACUUUUUCGUGGGGGAUAACGUAGGGAAACUUACGCUAAUACCGCAUACGACCUACGGGUGAAAGCAGGGGAUCUUCGGACCUUGCGCGAUUGAAUGAGCCGAUGUCGGAUUAGCUAGUUGGCGGGGUAAAGGCCCACCAAGGCGACGAUCCGUAGCUGGUCUGAGAGGAUGAUCAGACACACUGGAAAUGAGAAACGGUCCAGACUCCUACGGGAGGCAGCAGUGGGGAAUAUUGGACAAUGGGCGCAAGCCUGAUCCAGCCAUACCGCGUGGGUGAAGAAGGCCUUCGGGUUGUAAAGCCCUUUUGUUGGGAAAGAAAAGCAGCAGGUUAAUACCCCGCUGUUCUGACGGUACCCAAAGAAUAAGCACCGGCUAACUUCGUG
rnacentral:rRNA from 1 species